rnacentral:lncRNA from 1 species
UCAUUAAUGCUCUUUCUCACAAGGGUGGGAAGGACUCUUCACCAUUCGGUCAUAUUCUUGAUGACACAAGAAGGAUCUUGGAUAAUCAAGCGCAAUGGUUGGCUAUGUUGGGUUUAAAACAACACUCUCUAGUGACUUGGUUUGAGGAAUCUUCCGAUGUAAUCUUAAACCUUCUCGUUGAGGAUAGUAAUUAAUUGUAAGUUCUUUUUGACACACCCCGACCUAAAUCAAGGCAUGAUGGCCGUCACGGGAGGGUGACGUAGCCAUGUGCGCAGUGCGGAAGUGAUAAUGAUAUAAAAAUGCGAGUAAAUAAAAACCAAGCUAACUAAUUUACACUAAACGAAA